rnacentral:tRNA from 1 species
GGGCCGGUGGUGUAAUGGCAGCAUCUGCGGCUGAGAACUGCGAGGUCGGGGUCCAAGUCCCCGCCGGUCCA